rnacentral:rRNA from 1 species
CCUACGGGAGGCAGCAGUGGGGAAUAUUGCACAAUGGGGGCAACCCUGAUGCAGCGACGCCGCGUGAGUGAAGAAGUAUUUCGGUACGUAAAGCUCUAUCAGCAGGGACGAAGAUGACGGUACCUGACUAAGAAGCACCGGCUAACUACGUGCCAGCAGCCGCCGUAAUACGUAGGGGGCAAGCGUUAUCCGGAUUUACUGGGUGUAAAGGGAGUGUAGACGGCAGCGCAAGUCGGGAGUGAAAUCCCAGGGCUUAACCAUGGAACUGCUUUGGAAACUGUGGCGCUUGAGUGCAGGAGAGGUAAGCGGAAUUCCUAGUGUAGCGGUGAAAUGCGUAGAUAUUAGGAGGAACACCAGUGGCGAAGGCGGUCUGCUGGACUGUAACUGACGUUGAGGCUCGAAAGCGUGGGGAGCAAACAGGAUUAGAUACCCGGGUAGUC